UUUUAUUAAGUUAGUUUCGAGUGGUCGAUCCGAUAGUCCGCUGAAUAGCUUUCUCCCUGCGCGUUGGACGCUUACUGUCUGCUACGUCUGUUCGUUUUGGGACGUGUAGAGGUCUUAUACCGUUCACUGGAGAGUUUUGCUAUGGCAGGGUUCCGUCGAGGCAACUUCGAACAUGAAAGCCCUUCCUCUCGGUGCGCAGGAGGUUCUUCUUCCCGAUAUAAGCUCUCCAAAGUAAAACUUUCGAGUGGACGCGAUGUCCUAAAGUUGUAGCUCUAGACGGAACCCCGAAUCACUGUGAUCGUCUCAGCGCUUCGCAUUUGUAUCGUUUCCUGGGAUCAUUUCAAACGUUUAACUUACUUCCCAUCGAAAUUUGAUCUUUUAAUGAAAGAAAAGUGCGCGAACGUCGAAGGUUAUCGAAGAAGAGGCUGUUACAACGAGAAAAGGAUUGCGUUGGUCGGCCAUGGCCUGGGACUGGCAGCUAAAGGCCAGAAAUAGACCCAAUUCCACGUAUUCCGUAACGCGGCACCGAACAUCAUUCUACGUCCAUGUGGCCUCUCGUGUUCUCUAUUUACGGGCUUGCCCUGACUGCCAUGUGGUCGCCAGCUUUAUUUAAAUCGAUGUCGACGAUGCCGAGAGUGAAACGAGGAAAAAGUGCUCUGAAAAAGAAAGGACAGCAAACGCUAACCAUCCACCGUAAUAACCGGUCUAUUUCCGGUCCGGGGCUGGCAACCGGAGUCACAGCCAAUUAGAAACGGCCGUGAGACGGCACACGAAGACAUCGAAGGACUUUUCGACGCAGGGUCCGUCGCGUGAUCAUUUUCGAUCAUCGCUGCAGCUAGAUUUACAUGCGGAAAACCAGGAACGUCGCGUGGAACAUUGUUUCUGUGAUUAAAUUUGGAGAUUUUUGGCAAGCUAUAGUGAGGAUCUGUGACGUAAUCAAUUUAGAAUACAAGGCAGCGGAGGGCUACGUUUUAUUCUAUUGUAUUAGCCAUAGAAAUUAUUAGGUGUACUGGAAGUAAUGUCGUUUGUGCAAUUUUAAAUACUCGUUUAUCACUCAUCAGCUCAUUGAUUUUUAUCGAUAUGCCGUUGAAAAUUUGCACACUAAAUGGCAAAAGGCUGUUAAUAGGCGAUUACAUAAUUGAUUAAAAAUAGAAAUUUAUUAAAAAUUUGUUUGAAUUUAAUGUAAAAGAAACGACAUUACUUUCUAGUCUACCUAAUAAUUCUAUGCCUUUCUUGGUUAAACUUACUAUUUAUGAAGAAGAAUUAUGCAACUUUUAAUUUUCUCUCAGCUAUACAUUCUAAGAGAACAUGUGUACUCAAAAAAUGCAAUAGCGAAGUAAUAUUUCAUUAUUGUAUUGGAGAUUUUAUGUAUUUAUAAUCCAAGCGAGUAUGACAAAUAUAUGGUAAACAUAAUCAAAA